UCGGAAACUUAGGGGUGCUACGGUUUCUGCAGGUUUUGCAGAAGUAGUGGCUGAGAUUAGACCCUUUAACCUGAUCCGGAUAAUGCCGGCGUAGGUAAAGACCGUUCUUCUAUU
rnacentral:ncRNA from 1 species